GACGAACGCUGGCGGCGUGCUUAACACAUGCAAGUCGAACGGAAAGGCCCUGCUUUUGUGGGGUGCUCGAGUGGCGAACGGGUGAGUAACACGUGAGUAACCUGCCCUUGCCUUUGGGAUAACUUCAGGCAACUGGGGCUCAUACCGGAUAGGAGCUCCUGCUGCAUGGUGGGGGUUGGAAAGUUUCGGCGGUUGGGGAUGGACUCGCGGCCUAUCAGCUUGUUGGUGGGGUAGUGGCUUACCAAGGCUUUGACGGGUAGCCGGCCUGAGAGGGUGACCGGCCACAUUGGGACUGAGAUACGACACAGACUCCUACGGGAGGCAGCAGUGGGGAAUAUUGCACAAUGGGCGGAAGCCUGAUGCAGCAACGCCGCGUGCGGGAUGACGGCCUUCGGGUUGUAAACCGCUUUCGCCUGUGACGAAGCGUGAGUGACGGUAAUGGGUAAAGAAGCACCGGCUAACUACGUG
rnacentral:rRNA from 1 species